AAGGCUCUGGCAAAGCCUCAGAGCUCCCGGUGGAAACUGCUGAGAAGAAAAAGAAAACAGUCUACACACGCACGGUGGGGAGAAGGCGGAGAGGGGAAUGACACAUCUGCCAGCCAAGGAGGAGCACGUAUUCCGGCCACAACCAGGAGCUGAAGAGACAUGGACGGGUUCGUCCCUAGAUCCUUUGGAGUCUGCGCGGGCUCCCUCCUGAUCUUCACUUUCAUCCCGUCUUCACACCAUGCGUCCCCUUCCCCAGCGUUGACCCACUGUAACAGUGAGAUCAGAAAGCAUGUCUUUACAUGCUGUUGUAUGCCGCAUCAUCUGUGGAACCAACCUGCCUUUGUUGGACAUUGGGGUUGUUUCUUCCCUGGAGUCAGCUGAGCUCACGGGAAGCCUGAUUGGCCCUGAGCUAACAUCUGUGUCAGUCAUCUUCUAUUUUGUAUGUGGGGUGCCACCACAGCAUGGCUUGAUGAGCAGUGUGUAAGUCUGCGCCUGAGAUCCAAACCCAUGAACCCCAGGCCACCAAAGCGGAGCCCAUGAACUUAACCACUAUGCUGCCAGGCCGGCCCCUUAUUUAAACUUUUGAGAUAAUAAAACAGUCCAGAAGAGGAGAGCUUUGUGAAAUGUUCAUUCUUGUUUGGUAACCUGAUGAUUAAAGAAUAAAAUAAGCAAGAGUGCUCAAUAACACACUUGAAGUCAGGGAGCCUGCGCUGUCACCCGCAGACACAGCUGAAGUUUCAAGGGUGUCUGGAUGACAUCAGGAGCCAUCAGAACCGCUUCAACAGACCAACCUCUAAAUGAGCAGCCCUCCCCUCUAGGCCACAGGGUUUAGAAAAGACCUGUUUAUUCUUUGAACAUUCACGUGGAUACUGUAGAGAUGGCAGUCUUGCAUCACUUCUCUGAAACUUCGUGCCUUCCUUCAUGAUUUCCCCAGUCUUUUUCCCAGUGCCUGAAGGAUUUCCUAAAAAGUCUGAAUCGUCCUAGGACAGUUCAUGUAAAAGCUGGCCUGUUGCAUCAGCAGUUCAUAAUGAAAUCGGCGGCCGUCUUUCUCUCUCUUCUAACACACUAUCCAAACAAAACUCGUGCAAAUCAGAGAGAGAGGCAAUAUUUCUGGGUCUUCUUAUUUCAUAGAAGAGAGGGCAUGCCAACCAAGAUGUCUUUAGAUAUGAACCUUUGAGUUGCAUGUUGUGGAGAGAACCAUUGGCAGCCCAACACCUCCUCCACGUAGGG
rnacentral:lncRNA from 1 species